GACGAACGCUGGCGGCGUGCUUAACACAUGCCAGUCGAACGGAAAGGCCUCUUUCGGGGGGUACUCGAGUGGCGAACGGGUGAGUAACACGUGAGUAACCUGCCCUUGACUUUGGGAUAACUUCAGGAAACUGGGGCUAAUACCGGAUAGGAGCUCCUGCUGCAUGGUGGGGGUUGGAAAGUUUCGGCGGUUGGGGAUGGACUCGCGGCUUAUCAGCUUGUUGGUGGGGUAGUGGCUUACCAAGGCUUUGACGGGUAGCCGGCCUGAGAGGGUGACCGGCCACAUUGGGACUGAGAUACGGCCCAGACUCCUACGGGAGGCAGCGGUGGGGAAUAUUGCACAAUGGGUGGAAGCCUGAUGCAGCAACGCCGUGUGCGGGAUGACGGCCUUCGGGUUGUAAACCGCUUUCGCUCAUGACGAAGCUUUGUGUGACGGUAGUGGGUAAAGAAGCACCGGCUAACUACGUG
rnacentral:rRNA from 1 species